rnacentral:lncRNA from 1 species
CGCCUCACUAGGGCGACCCCUGGUGGCGGGAGGUCCUCAGCCCUCACCGGCCUGUCCCGCAGGCCGCCUGUGAGACCUUCUGUGUGGGAGAGGAUGCCAAGGCCGCCGCCCGAGACAUCUUCAGCCCCAAACGGAGCUGGAAGCGCCAGAGGUACCGGCUGAGCGCCCAGGCCGAGGGCCUGCAGUUGCUGCCAGGUCUGAUCCACGUGCACAGGCGGAAGAUGUUCCAGGCUACAAUCCGCUCAGUGGAAAACCUGCAAAGCAGCAAGUCCACGUGAGGACGACGGCUUUACCGCCC